rnacentral:rRNA from 1 species
ACUCAAAGGAAUAGACGGGGGCCCGCACAAGCAGCGGAGCGUGUGGUUUAAUUCGAUGCAACGCGAAGAACCUUACCCAGACUUGACAUGGCCCUGCAAACCCUAGAAAUAGGGUCCUCGCAAGACAGGGUCACAGAUGUUGCAUGGCUGUCGUCAGCUCGUGUCGUGAGAUGUUGGGUUAAGUCCCGCAACGAGCGCAACCCUCGUGUGAUGUUGCAAAUCAUCGCAGACUGCCGGUACAAGCCGGAGGAAGGUGGGGAUGACGUCAAGUCCGCAUGGCUCUUACGUCUGGGGCUACACACACGCUACAAUGGUCGGGACAGAGGGCAGCCACGGGGCGACCCGGAGCGAAUCCCAAAACCCGGUCUCAGUUCGGAUGGUAGGCUGCAACUCGCCUGCCUGAAGUCGGAGUUGCUAGUAACCGCGUGUCAGCAUAGCGCGGUGAAUAUGUUCCCGGGCCUUGUACACACCGCCCGU